UUGAACACCUUGGAAAAUGUAUAGGAAUUCACUGCAGGCUACCCAAGUUGCUAUAAAGGUUGUGAUAUAGAAACUUCCUGCUUAACUCCAAACACUGUAGUUCAUUCAUGUGACAGCAACUAUUAUCUGCAAUGGGCUGGUUGUUCUUUGACAGAGUUAGCUGCUGCCUGCACCGAUGAUGAAAGUCUAACAACUUGGAACAUGUCUAAAAAUCCACUGCAUGCUAUCCACGUGACUGUAGCUUAAAGGUUGUUCUAUCUAGAAACUCGAUGCUUCAUUCCAACCACUGUAGUUCACUGUGAGGCAAAUAUUAUCUUCAAUGGGCUAUCCAUGUGACUGUACAGGCUGUGCUAUCUAGAAACUCAAUGCUUCACUUUAACCAC